GACAGAGGGUGCAAACGUUGCUCGGAAUCACUGGGCGUAAAGGGCGUGUAGGCGGGAAUGUAAGUCGGGCGUGAAAGCCCCAGGCUCAACCUGGGAACUGCACUCGAAACUGCGUUUCUUGAGUAUCGGAGAGGAAAGCGGAAUACCUGGUGUAGAGGUGAAAUGCGUAGAUAUCUGCAGGAACACCCGUGGCGAAAGCGGCGCGCUGGACCACUACUGGCGCUGAGGAACGAAAGCUAGGGGAGCAAACAGG
rnacentral:rRNA from 1 species